rnacentral:rRNA from 1 species
UACAGAGGGGGCAAGCGUUGUUCGGAAUUACUGGGCGUAAAGGGCGCGUAGGCGGCCUUCUAAGUCGAACGUGAAAUCCCUUGGCUCAACCAAGGAAUGGCGUCUGAUACUGGACGGCUUGAAUCCGGGAGAGGGAUGUGGAAUUCCAGGUGUAGCGGCGAAAUGCGUAGAUAUCUGGAGGAACACCGGUGGCGAAGGCGGCAUCCUGGACCGGUAUUGACGCUGAGGAGCGAAAGCCAGGGGAGCAAACGGG